AUAAAUGUAAGGUAUAUAUCUCUUUUAGGUUAAGUUCACCACUUGCCAUUUGGGAGUAAUGUGAGAGGACUGAGAGGCUCUGUUCACUUGGUGUUGAUGCUCCUGCUGGAUGGGGGGCGUUGUGGGGAGAAGAAAGGGGAGUGAACAGAAGGGCAGCCAUCAUGUUUCCAUUCCCCAUCUGUGGGGCUAACUUAAGUAACAAAAUUUAGAAGCUGUAUUGUGAAUUGAUGCCUCUUAAAGCAGUGUUAGUAACUGAAAUUUUGGCUUUAAUAUGUUUUGUUGUAGAUUGAAGAAAAAUAAAGAGCUACAGAAAGUUCAGGAUAUCAAAGAAGUCAAGCAAAACAUCCAUCUUAUCCGAGCCCCUCUUGCAGGCAAAGGGAAACAGUUGGAAGAGAAAAUGGUACAGCAGUUACAAGAGGAUGUGGACAUGGAAGAUGCUCCUUAAAAAUCUCUGUAACCAUUUCUUUUAUGUACAUUUGAAAAUGCCCUUUGGAUACUUGGAACUGCUAAAUUAUUUUAUUUUUUACAUAAGGUCACUUAAAUGAAAAGCGAUUAAAAGACAUCUUUCCUGCAUUGCCAUCUACAUAAUAUCAGAUAUUACGGAUGUUAGAUUGCAUCUCAGUGUUAAAUCUUUACUGAUAGAUGUACUUAAGUAAAUCAUGAAAAUUCUACUUGUAACUAUAGAAGUGAAUUGUGGACGUAAAAUGGUUGUGCUAUUUGGAUAAUGGCACUAGGCAGCAUUUGUAUAGUAACUAAUGGCAAAAAUUCAUGGCUAGUGAUGUAUAAAAUAAA
rnacentral:lncRNA from 1 species